rnacentral:rRNA from 1 species
UUGAACGCUGGCGGCAUGCCUUACACAUGCAAGUCGAACGGCAGCACGGGAGCAAUCCUGGUGGCGAGUGGCGAACGGGUGAGUAAUACAUCGGAACGUGCCCAGUUGUGGGGGAUAGCCCGGCGAAAGCCGGAUUAAUACCGCAUACGACCUACGGGUGAAAGCGGGGGAUCGCAAGACCUCGCGCUAUUGGAGCGGCCGAUGUCGGAUUAGCUAGUUGGUGGGGUAAAAGCCUACCAAGGCUACGAUCCGUAGCUGGUCUGAGAGGACGACCAGCCACACUGGGACUGAGACACGGCCCAGACUCCUACGGGAGGCAGCAGUGGGGAAUUUUGGACAAUGGGCGCAAGCCUGAUCCAGCCAUGCCGCGUGCGGGAAGAAGGCCUUCGGGUUGUAAACCGCUUUUGUCAGGGAAGAAACGGUUUGAGUUAAUACCUCGAACUAAUGACGGUACCUGAAGAAUAAGCACCGGCUAACUACGU